rnacentral:rRNA from 1 species
CAGCCUGAUGCAGCACGCCGCGUGCGGGAAGACAGCCCUAGGGUUGUAAACCGCUUUCAGUAGGGAAGAAAAUGACGGUACCUACAGAAGAAGGUGCGGCCAACUACGUGCCAGCAGCCGCGGUGACACGUAGGCACCAAGCGUUAUCCGGAUUUAUUGGGCGUAAAGAGCUCGUAGGCGGUUUGGUAAGUCGGGUGUGAAAACUCAGGGCUUAACCCUGAGACGCCACCCGAUACUGCCAUGACUUGAGUACGGUAGGGGAGCGGGGAACUCCUGGUGUAGCGGUGAAAUGCGCAGAUAUCAGGAAGAACACCGGUGGCGAAGGCGCCGCUCUGGGCCGUAACUGACGCUGAGGAGCGAAAGCGUGGGUAGCAAACAGGAUUAGAUACCCUGGUAGUCCACGCCGUAAACGUUGGGCACUAGGUGUGGGUCUCAACUAACGAGAUCCGCGCCGUAGCUAACGCAUUAAGUGCCCCGCCUGGGGAGUACGGUCGCAAGACUAAAACUCAAAGAAAAUUGACGGA